rnacentral:rRNA from 1 species
UGCUCCACCGAAAGAAAAGGAGUGGCGAACGGGUGAGUAACACGUGGGUAACCUGCCCAUCAGAAGGGGAUAACACUUGGAAACAGGUGCUAAUACCGUAUAACAAUCGAAACCGCAUGGUUUCGGUUUGAAAGGCGCUUUUGCGUCACUGAUGGAUGGACCCGCGGUGCAUUAGCUAGUUGGUGAGGUAACGGCUCACCAAGGCAACGAUGCAUAGCCGACCUGAGAGGGUGAUCGGCCACAUUGGGACUGAGACACGGCCCAAACUCCUACGGGAGGCAGCAGUAGGGAAUCUUCGGCAAUGGACGGAAGUCUGACCGAGCAACGCCGCGUGAGUGAAGAAGGUUUUCGGAUCGUAAAACUCUGUUGUUAGAGAAGAACAAGGAUGAGAGUAGAAUGUUCAUCCCUUGACGGUAUCUAACCAGAAAGCCACGGCUAACUACGUGCCAGCAGCCGCGGUAAUACGUAGGUGGCAAGCGUUGUCCGGAUUUAUUGGGCGUAAAGCGAGCGCAGGCGGUUUCUUAAGUCUGAUGUGAAAGCCCCCGGCUCAACCGGGGAGGGUCAUUGGAAACUGGGAAACUUGAGUGCAGAAGAGGAGAGUGGAAUUCCAUGUGUAGCGGUGAAAUGCGUAGAUAUAUGGAGGAACACCAGUGGCGAAGGCGGCUCUCUGGUCUGUAACUGACGCUGAGGCUCGAAAGCGUGGGGAGCAAA